rnacentral:rRNA from 1 species
ACUCCUACGGGAGGCAGCAGUGGGGAAUAUUGCACAAUGGGGAAGCCAUCGAUGCAGCAACGACCGCGUGAGUGAUGACGGUCUUCGGAUUGUAAAGCUCUGUCUUCAGGGACGAUAAUGACGGUACCUGAGGAGGAAGCCACGGCUAACUACGUGCCAGCAGCCGCGGUAAUACGUAGGUGGCAAGCGUUGUCCGGAUUUACUGGGCGUAAAGGGAGCGUAGGUGGAUAUUUAAGUGGGAUGUGAAAUACUUGGGCUUAACCUGAGUGCUGCAUUCCAAACUGGAUAUCUAGAGUGCAGGAGAGGAAAGUAGAAUUCCUAGUGUAGCGGUGAAAUGCGUAGAGAUUAGGAAGAAUACCAGUGGCGAAGGCGACUUUCUGGACUGUAACUGACACUGAGGCUCGAAAGCGUGGGGAGCAAACAGGAUUAGAACCCUGGUAGGCUCUGC